CUCAAGGAUUUGUAGUUUGGAUGCACGCGAUGUUUCAUUUUGUGCCUUUGAUAUGCAUUUUGUCUGCUUGCAUGCGUGUUGUGGAUUCGGUGGCAUUUGAAGGCGAAUUAAAUCUAUUUUCCUCUAGAUAGGAGAGAUGUUAUUUAAUUCAUUUAGUCUCAUUUGAAUUCUCAUUUAACACAGCUUGUAGAGUAUGUGCCCUUAGUUGAAGUCUAGGGUUCAUGUUCUAGCUCAUAAGCAAACUUCCCUGUUCGCUACAAGUUCUAUGUUAUUGCUUGUAGACAAGUUAACGUGUUUGUUAAAAGUCUCUUCAUGCCCAUAGGCGAAUUGUUGUGUUCAUUGCAAAUCUCCCACUCUUGUAUGUAGGAAAGUUGCUCUUUUCGUUAGAAUUUCCCUAUUCUUUCCCAUCAGCGAACUAUUGUAUUUAUUACAAGUUCCCAAUUCGUGCCCAUGGGAAAACUGCUAUGCAGUAAGCACAUUAUAGGUUCCAUUCUCUUGCUCGUAUGCAAGCCAUGUAUUCAUUACAAGUCCCCUAAUUUUAUUCAUAGGUAAGCAAACGGUUUUAUUAAAGUCCCUUAUUUAUUUUUAAUGUUAUUCAUUCAAAACAAGUGUUGCACCUUAGUGUUUUUGUUUUUGUCGUUAACGUGCAUUCAAAGUUGUGUUUUCGUUGCAUUUAUAGUUGUGCAGGUUAUUUUAAUAGUUCUCUAUUUAAAUAAUGUUCAGGUGAAAUUUUAGUAGCCUCCUGACAUCUCACUCUUUUAGGAAAAUUUUGGGGAGUGCUAAGGCCUGCUCAUCAUACUUAUACAGAAGCAGGAUGGUUGGUAUUAAGUGACACCGUGAUACGGAAUCUUCUACUCACCGCACUUAAAAAAGCACGCAUAGACCUUUAAUACCUACAUGAGAAGAAGAGGAUUUCUCCUCCAUGCUGGAACUAUGCAAGUAGUUACUUCGGUUUAAAGGUUUCCUCACCACGCUGGAAGUAUGCUAACGGGUACUUAGAUUAUAUGUUUCUCCCCACGCUGGAACAAUAUGAACAAGUACUUACAAUUGGCUUGUUUCCCCGUUGUAUUAGAACAAUACAAACAGGUACUUAUUAUGGAAUUUUCCAAAUUAUACUUGCGUGCAAGGUAGUGACGACGACGUCGAGAUGCCAAUUUUGGGGUAGAUGGGCUGCUGCUGCGUAAAAACAAUAUAAAAGGGAAAAAUUGAGUGUGUUAGUAAGUUAGAUUAGAUAUAAUUUUUUUUUGUUGACUCACUGACAGCUAAUUGGGAUAGCAUUGAAUUCAUAAGGAUGUGGCAAGCAGGAUAAAGGAGAUUUGAUUAGUGAUAGAAUUAUAUAUAUGUAUAUAUAUAUAUAUAAAUUAAAAAUAAUUAAUAACUCCAAAUUUAAUUAGCAUAUUAUAAAAAGAAAUUGUGAAUUGACUCUUGCAUAUUUUUUAAAUUUCCGUUCAUCUUAAUUUACAUGACUAGCCUCUCACAUUGGCGAAUUUUGAAUUCUUGCUCAUGCCACAACCCAAUCAAUAUUGCAAUCCUUCCUAAUUAUUUUCUAUGAUUCGGAUGCAAUGACAAAGUUCGUUUAAAUAACAAGCAACGUCCUGGUGACUUUGCACAUCUUCGCUCCCAUAGACCAUUGUUUUCAAUCGUCUUCACUGGAAUUGAUCAGGAGAGGUCCUCUUAGGUAAUUUUGAUUUUUUAGUGCAAUGAUGUUGUCUGUUUCAUGAUUGGAGGUUGUUUGGGAAGUAUUGAGCUUCGUAGUAUCUACCCGCCAUCACUUUCAUCACUUGAAUGUCUUAUAUGUGAGCGGUCCUUUAGUAGAUUUGACAUUUUGGACAUGUCGACAUACUCCUCUUCACAAAUGUAUGAUGUUUGGGUGAUUUCAUGCAACUUCGAGGGAUUUUGAGUUUGAUACACACAACGUUGUGUUAUUCUGUUGCCCUUCUCUUCCGCUUCUCUCAUGCCAAAUUAGCAUACGUGAACUUCAACAGGCUAUACAUAAAAUCAUAGCAUUCAUUUGUUCUAUAGCUUAUCAUAUCUUAACUUAAAUUUUUUGGAUAUAUUAAUACAUCCAUCUUAAGAGCACUGUCUAACCCAACUCACCUUUGGCCGAUAUUUGUCUCAUCGGCUUAGCAAGGCAUAGAUGUCCACUAUUAUCUUAGGUGAAAGGCUGAAACUCACCCUUGGCUUAUAUCACCCCCAUUGGCAUAGCAGGGCAAGAAUUAUUUUUUAGUUGAAAGUAUGACAUAAGUUCAAUUGCAAUUAGUUAGUCAUGAGGCUAGUUUGGGAUUAGGCUGGCAAAGUAUCAGUUACGGGUUGAAUUUGAUGAUUUCAACAGGUUAAUAUUUAGUCUAAGCUGAGAUAGGGUGCAAACUGCUAGUCUGUUAUGAAAUAGUUAAUUAUAAUAGUGCUAAGGACAAUGUGAAAAAGGCCCAAAGUAAAUCCGGAAGCUUUAAGAUGACUAAGAUACAAUUUUUAUGCCAUAUGUUUUGUCUAUAAUCUAUAACCAUUAGGCCUAUCUUUAUAUCUUUACUUAUGAAAGUAAUGUAGUGAGUAAAACUCUUGUAUUGUAAAUCAAAAUAUAAUUUAAUUAGUAAGCAACUCAUAAUAUUUGUAGAAAAUCAUGUUCACGUGAGACAUUUAAAACAUAUAUUAGCUAUUGUUUUUUUAUGAAUAAUUUCUAUAGAAAACCUAUGAACACAUUCACCCUUGAUUAUUUGAUUUUAUUUUGCAUAAUAAUUUUAUCUAUUUGUAUAUUUCUUCUUUUUGUAAUAAUAUUUAUAAAUUACUUAGUUCUUUUUUCAUGAAUUUUCAUGUUGGGAAUUUUUUCAUGCAAUUUAUUGGGGUGCUCUUAGUAUCUCAAUUGCAUGAGGUUGGAGAAAUUUUUAGAACAUAUCAUGUAUGAAAACCAUCUUUUAAUGCUAGCUAUGCAAUCCUAUUUAGUGUUAUUGGUACCCUUUAUUGUACACUUAUAAUAUCCUAAAUAUUUUGCCAGAUGACUAUGGAGCUUGUUGUCCAAUAUUUGGUCUAUCAUGAGGAGUAUGGGCCUCAAUUUAUAAUUGUUUGGAUCUACUCAUCAACAAAGUAAAAAAGGAAAAAAAUUAUAUCCGAACAUUCUGAUGCAAAUUCAUAGUAGUUUUGAGUUCAUUAAGCAACACUUGUCUCCUAUAAAUGGGCUCUUAAAUGCGUAAUCAGAAAAUUGUAAGAAAUAAUGAGACGGUAGAAGAAAAUUUGUUAAUAGAAGACAUGGAUUUAAAAAAUAGAAUUUUAUCAUGUGGCACAUCAUAUAUGAUGAACUAUUUUGAUGUGAAUUUGCAUCAAGAUGUCUUGAUACUAAUUUUUUAAGUAAAAAAGUAAGUGUUGUUGCGUCAUAUGAACUAAAAUUGUGCAUAUGAAGACACUCCAGGCUAUCUAAAAUCUCAAGGAAAUGCUUUGCAAAUUGCAACCUACUACUUAAUGACCAAAAACGUCUCUUAACUGAAUGGAAUGUGACGUGUAUUACAAAGGCCGUUGUACCCAUUACAUUUACCUGAAUACCUUAGCAUUUAAUAACUAUUGCAUUGGUAUUUUCUGGUUGCUAUUGAUCUUUCUGGCUAUACCAAAAUAAUCUGAUAUUUGUGCAAAACUUUUUUUUUUUAUAAUAAAUUUGUAUAGUAACUAUAGUUUAUUUGCAUUGCCGAUAGUUUAAUAUGCUGCAGUAUGGAAAAACAAAUUUACUAAUGCAGAAAUUUUAGGUCCGGAUCUCCUAUCCCAAAUUUGAUUAGAACUAGUUCUAUACAUUAGAUUUAUUUUAAGAUUAGUGCAAUAUCUGAUUAAUCAAUUAACUAUUACUAACAUUAAUCUCAAAAUAAAUUCAACAACUAUAAAAUUUAUCCCAACCAAAUUUUUGCCGAGAUAUCUCUACUCUUUUUUUUUUUUCAGUACUAUCAUCAUGCUACUAUAUUAUAGUUGUUUGCAUAAUAAGUAAAAUUUAAAAUAGUAUAUAAUUUAAAAAAAUUGAUUUGUGCAAAUUUUCCUCAUCAUGGGGGAAAUUGUUGUUUUAUCUUUUCUUUUAGGAGUUAAAAUCUGACAUACUUCUAGACUGUAACUUUUCAUUUGUAAAUUAUAGUUAACUUUUAUUGUACCCACUCUUUCUAUAGUCAAUAUUGAUAUAAAUAGAUUCUUUAACAUAAACAAACAAUUGUCCGUAUGCAUGCGUCAUUCCUAUUUUUCACUUGGAUAUUGUUUUCCCAUCUUUCUUUAUUUAUGAAAUACUACUACCCUUUGCGUAGUACAGUGCACGAUGUUAGUAUCACAUAUUUUAAUAGGAUAAACUGAAAUGUCUUUGAGCCAAAAUAUGAUUUGAAUGGUGUAACAAUCUGGCCUGCAAAAGUUCUUACUGAUAAGUAGUUAUGGACCAGCUUGAGAUCCAUUAAAGGGCCAGCUCAGUUCAGAUAAGUUAAAGCAGUCCUUUAGGGUAAAAGAGUUAACAAUAUCAUCAUGAAUAUUCAAUAUAACUUGGAAAGAAAUUUAUUGACUGAAAAAAUAUUACAAUUUUCUCCUUUUCAGGAUGUGGUUCCAUAGAACCGUCAAAGCGGAUGACUGGUUAUUGUUUGCGAUAGAGAGUCCUUCAGCCUCUGGUGGACGAGGAUUUGUCUCGGGCCGAAUGUUUAACAAACAUGGGGAGCUCAUUGUAUCAGUAACACAAGAAGCUCUGAUUAGGAAAGCAAAAACACAGAGCCAGAUUCCGCAAUCAAAACUUUAGAGCAGUUGAGAUGAUUAUGCAUUAAUUCUGCAUGGCUGGAUGCGAAUUUCUGAGAACCAUGUUGCAAAUAAUCUACAGCUUGCUAGCUCCAGAAUUUCAUUUCUUAACCUAUUUGAUAUUUGAUCGCUUGCAGGGGAAACAAUGGUUAUGGUGAAUUAACGAUUCACUUUCAACAUUGAACUUCUAUUUUCUUAAUUUUUCUGCAAUACAUGUGCGUUUAUAUAUACCCCAAAUAAAUGGGAUACGGGUACAGAGAUGGUGUUGAUGUUGUAAUAUAAGUAUUAAACUGCUGAAGGAAUUAUUAUCACCAUAACAAGUUGUAGGCUGUGUAAUAAAGCCUCUUAUUGCUUACAUGAGGUUUGAUGCCACAUGCUGAGCUAUUCUUGUGAAAUUUCAAGCAACUGGGAAUGUUAAUUUGUUAUAAAUGCAUAUAAUUACAUAAAAUAUUAGAGAAAAA